GUCAUCUACACAGAUGAGGAGGCUUACUAGCGCUUGCGGGGUACGCAAAAUUGGGUCCUCAAGGGGUACGCCAAUACCGCCUAUUUCCAGGCCAUCGCCAACGGCCGGCGCCACCGUAACUCCAUCCCUCUCCUUUGGGAUGGAGAGACCCUCCUACAGUAGCUGGAGGAAAUUUGGGCCCAUGUGGACGGCUUUUACAGAGACCUAUUCUCUGCCUCCCCUCGGGGAGGGCUAGCCCUCGCACACGACAUUUGGCCUGCCCACCGACGUGUCCCGCCGGUGGACAAUGUGGCCUUGACGGCCCCGUUCUCCGAGGCUGAAGUCUGGGCGGCCAUUAAAGGCAUGAAUCCCUCGUCGGCCCCUGGUCCGGAUGGCCUCCCGGUGAAGUUCUUCCAGACCUUCUGGGAGGUUAUUAAACCAGAGGUGAUGGCCCUCUUUGAGCAGUUCUAUGUUGGCUCCAUAGAUCUUACCAGGCUGAACUUUGGGAUUAUCACCCUCAUUCCCAAAGUACCUGGAGCUUCAGAUAUUCGCCUGUUCCGACCGAUUACGGUGAUCAAUUUUGUCUUCCGCAUCCUUGGCAAGGGGUACGCCAUUAGGGUGGCCUCAAUUGCGGAUCAGAUCACACACCCGGAUCAGUCGGCAUUCAUCCAAGGCCGGUAUAUCCUUGAUGGAGUCCUAGUGUUUCACGAAGCUCUCCAUGAGGUGCACACCAAAGACCUCAAGGCAGUUUUCCUGAAACUAGAAUUCCACAAGGCUUACGACACGGUCAGUUGGCCCUUCCUCCGGGAAUGCUUGCUCCGGAAGGGAUUCGACGAUCGCUGGGUGACCUGA
rnacentral:rRNA from 1 species